UACGUAGGGCGCAAGCGUUGUCCGGAAUUAUUGGGCGUAAAGAGCUCGUAGGCGGCCUGUCGCGUCCGCUGUGAAAUCCUGGGGCUCAACCCCGGGCGUGCAGUGGAUACGGGCUGGCUGGAGGCAGGCAGGGGAGACUGGAAUUCCUGGUGUAGCGGUGAAAUGCGCAGAUAUCAGGAGGAACACCGGUGGCGAAGGCGGGUCUCUGGGCCGAAACUGACGCUGAGGAGCGAAAGCGUGGGGAGCAAACAGG
rnacentral:rRNA from 1 species